ACAAAACAGAAGUCUUUGAGAUAAAACAAAGGCAGCAGGGGAAGUCUAUGAACUAUUCUAUUAGGCCAACUGCAACUAUAAGAUAAGGCAGAACAAGAAACACACAUGGACUUCCUGCUGCCAUAACAAUAUUAAAAAGCUGUAUUCUGAGUAAAAUACAGGGGUAUAAUGUAGAACACAUAUAUGUUAGUGAAUUCUUAUCUGCACAUACAGUACAUGCAUGCACACACAGAUCAAUUCUUUGGAUUUAGUCACAUUAAUGCACCUGUGUCUGAUCAACUAUUAUUUUAUGGCUUCCUAUCAAGAACAAAAUAUGUGUUCAAACAUACAUAUUAUGUUCCAGAAUUAGUAGAACUGUCUUCCCCAUCCUUUUUUCUAAUCUUCUGAAAAUGUCUUUUGCAAAAAUAGAAAUCAUAGUUUCUUCACAUGUACUCUUAGGCACUUUUCUCAUAGUGUGUUUUAUUGUUUUGCACCCCAUAUAAUGCUAUUAUUUAAUAGAAAAACUGAGUUUUCAUAAAUCAUUUCUCACUCUUCCAUAGAUCUAGGAAAUCGAUCCUCAAACUAUGGCCCACAAUCCAGAUACAGCCCACCAAUGCAAAGUAUCCUGCUGGUGGAGUGGUGGGAUUUAGUCCCCCCCCGCAUUGGCCUUAUCUUCCAGCGAGCAUCCACUCAACCUGCACUUCUGCUUACGUAUUUCACCGGUUGAGCUGCACUUCUGAUCACACUGCUGCUGCCACAGGAAAGGCCGAAGGAAGGACAAGCUGACCGAGGGGUGAUCUCGCCAGUGCAGCCACAUGAUCCAGGGCCGGUGGGAAGGAACACAGCAAAAGGAAUACACGGAAGAAACCUGAUGAAGAUGAAGCACACAUGAAAGUGUAUUCUCUUUCCGUACUUCAACAGAAUACCACUCCCAUGAAUACUGAAUGCUUAAGAGUUACAAUUUUUGACCAUCAGGGAAAAAAAUGAGAAGAGUACAAAAGAUGGCACAAACCUCAUGUGGUUGGCAAUUAAAUACAUGUUCAAAAUGUAAGCUUAUCACUUGAAGACUAUAUUCAACUUCAAUAAAGCCUAUUCUUUGGAGCCAGGAGUAUGAAAUGCAGCCUUGUCACUAACGCUCCCUGCUGGACAGCUUUUAAAGACUAGCGCAGCUGCUGCCUUUUCACCCUUAUAGAUUAGACUCCUCACAGAGGUAAAUAAAAUUAAUAUGCAGGUAGUGCUGGUUUUAGCAACCAGAACUGGGACUAGCAACUCAGUUGUUAAGCAAAGCAUUUGCUAAGUGGAAACUGAGACUGUGCUUAGGACAGAUGUGGUAUUCAGCAGGUUCUGACCAGUUCUGGAGAA